AUUAGUGAAAAUUAAACUAAUGCAAAUGCAAUGGAAAUAGUUGACAAACAUCGGAGACCACAUAUUAUCCCCAAAUCUAUUAGAAAAACAAUAUUCAUUAGAUCUAUACAAGAUGAUGAUGAGCAAAAUCAUGUGUGCACAUACUUGCAAGUGCACACAUGCAAGCACACAUAACACAAUUGAGUAUUAUAUGCUUAAUGAUAUAAGUACAACAGCUCAAACACUCAGUUUUGGAUGAAGGUUUGAAGACAUACUGUCAAUGCCCAACUGAUUAACAG
rnacentral:misc_RNA from 1 species